UCCCUCCUGAGAAGGACCUUACUAACUUUCCCCCUAAAAGUGUCCUAUGAAUAGCUCCAGUCCCCAAACCCUUUAAAUUCUGGUCUCUGACUCACCCUUGUUUUAGGCAGUACUGGGACUCCACAGAGGUACGGCUCUUUGCUCAGCAAGUUUAAUAAAUCCAAGGUAGUAGAAUCAAUUUGUUUUCUUGGUCGUCUUGUUUUGAGGGAGUAGGUCUUCUAAAUGUUGAUUCUGAUCCCUGCCUAUGGAUAUUUAUGAAUAAAUAGAUAUUUGCACUCCAUCAUUAUGUGGAGCUACAAGUGUUAAAUUUAACUAUCUAAUUACCUCUAAAAUAACCACUAAAUUCAACAAUCUGAAACUUAUCUAAUUAGUUCCACAUCCUGGAAUGAAGGGAUUUAAUAGGUAAUAACAGAUCUCAGUCUCUAAUGGAGACAUAAUCACACAGACACCAGACGAAAGAUGAGUAAAGUGGAAAGCAAUAGGUAGAACAAUAAUUUGCUUUAUGCUAUGAUUUUUGGAGUGAAGCAAGAAAAUUAAUCAAGGAAACAAAGAAGAAAUCCAAGACGUAGUAGUGUUGGAUUUGCAUUUUUGUCAUAUGACACUACUUCUAUUCUACAGGAUUCACUUGGUCUCCAUCUGACCUCCUCAGAGUAGACUGCUCUUUCCCAAUCACUCCUGCAAUUACCCUAGGAGAUGUGUGAUCCUAAAGUAAGGGGGAAUUUUAAAUUUACUUCUAAGUACACCUGCAUGAUGCCAUUAGUCAGGGCAGGGUAGCUGAACAAACUCAGCUCUGAAUCCUUUAAGCAGAGGUAAUAAUUACUGACACUAUUUAAUCGGAUUCUGAACAUGAUGUGCCACUUUUCCUUUUGCGUCUGAAGUGACACCAGCCAUUUUCACAGUUUCUUCCACUAUGGUUAGUUUGAUAAGAGAAAUAUAAAGGCAAGUAUUUUUUUCACUCAGUUCACCUUGGUUCUAAGAGUGGGUUUAUAUAAAGAAAUGGAACGUGCUUCUGCUAAUUAAUAUUCAGGCAGAAAAAGUCAUGAAUUCCACUACAAACCCAUGUCCCUUCUUCCGAAGACAUGAGAAAUUGAUGAGGGUAUUCUUUCUUCUGUCGGUAAAACGAAGUCUGGGAUAUAGAUUGCAAUAUUAGCAGUGCCAUAGUGCAGAAUUUCUCAUAAUUAACACUUUUCACUUGAAUACAUAAGAAAAUAGAAUUGGAAUGCAAAGUUAAUAAAUUAAUCAUGUUAUAAACAAUAUGAACAUAGAAGCAAAAAUUGCAUGGUCUUUGGCAUGCAGUCUUUGAUUUGGGGAAUACAUUUUUUCUAUUGUUAUCAGGAAGAAAGAACAGAAACAGUUCAUAUUCACAUGGACUAGACAAAAGUAUGCAUUUAUGUGCUUACUCCAGAGGUAUAUCAAGUCCCCCAAUUUUUCCUAAUCUAGUCCAAAGAGAAUUGAACUGUCUGGACCAUCAGCAAAACAUUGGUACACUGUAUUGAUAGUAUCAUUUAAAUCUUCAAUGAGCAAGAAGUGUCAAGUAAGUUAUAGAUUUUGUUAAGCCCUGCAUGCUCCAGAGGGUGGGAGAGAAACACAAAAACCAUUCAUCGACCUGGUUCGUGAAUGAAAGUUUUUAGGAUCUGUGAAAUUCUGAGACAUUUCCUCCAAAGUAAAGUCUCAUUGUUGUAUCUCGAAGCUCCCGUCACUUAGAAGGGAGCACGGUGCUCACCAUGUUUCUCUGAGCUGUGAAAGCGGUGCGUUCCACACUUGGAGACCCUUCUCUGACACAUUUACCAACAGAUACUGGAUUAAAAUAUUAACAAAUUGAAUCCAGCAUUAUCUGUAAAGCAUAACGCACCAUGAGUUAGGGGAGAUUGCCUCGGGAAUAAAAAAUUAGUUAAGCAUUGAAAAGUCAAUUAAAUGUAAUAUACUACAUUAACAAAAAAAAACGCAUGUAAUCAUCUCACUAGAUGCAGAAGAAAUAUUGGACCAAAUUUGCCAUUCAUUCGUGGUGUUUAAAAAAUAUCCCAGUAAACUACGUAUAGAAGGAAAAUUCCUCAGAUGAAUAAUGGGCGUUUAAGAAAUUCCUACAACUAGCAAUAGAGUUAAUAGUGGAAGAAUAAAUAUGUACCCUUUAAUAUUGGAGAAAAGUGCAAAAUAUCUGUUCUUACUACUUCUACAUUUUACUGAAAGUCCUAGCUAGUGCCAGAAAGUAAGGAACGCAUGAAUGAAGAAUAAAUGGCAUACUCACUUUAGAAUAAGAAAAAUAUAUUCAUUUGCAAGCAACAUGAUCAGAUACACAAAAAAUCCUAGUGCAUCUACAAAAAUAAGCAUUAUAAGUAAAUGCAGCUAUGUCACAGAUUACAAUAUACAAAAAUUAAUUGUAUUUCUAUGUACUAGCAUCAAAAAAAUGGAAAAUUAAAUUACCACUUUCAAUAGGUUUAAAACAAAUGAAAUAUUUAGAGAUAAACUUGUCAAUGUGCACAGGACUUGUACCUAGAAAUCUACAAAAGAUGGCUGAGAAAAACUCAGGAAAACUUGAAUAAUUGGUGCUGUUUGACAUAUUUACAGAUUGAAAAAGAAAUUGACAAGCUUAUUCUGAAGGACCUAGAGUAACCUAAAUAAUUAGGAAAAGAAAAACAAAGAGGACUUACACCAGGUGAUGUCAAGACUUAUUAUAAAGCUAAGGAUCCCGACUCAGAUUGAAAAAGCAGAGGAUGGUCACUGCCUUCCAGGUCUGAGGCUGUCUCCCAGAAACUUCAUUCCUCGCUUCGCCUUGGUUCUCCAUCACUUUCUGAGUCCUACAGGAGGAAAGUGCUAUUGAAGAUGAGGCGCGUAUGGCGUGAAGUUCUGGGGCUGGGAGAAGCUGCCCCGCUACUUCCGGGUGGCCUUGCCUGCAGGGAGCAGUUUGUAUUCCCCGUUGUUUCUCCUGUUGACGACAUCUGUGCCUCUUAUCUGGGAGAAGAUCAGAGGAAACUGCCGCCUCCCCCAAGCACGUGUUUUACUGCUCCCCAUUUCACAACCUAGUGCUGUCCACUUGCAUGGGAUGUUUCUUUUCCAUCACAAUGCUCUGAGAUAACGAAGUCGAGGGAAGUUUGUGCAGCCCUCCAGACCCUCCAGAUUUCAAAGGAAAGCCCACCGCUGCUGGUCUGGGGGAGCUGAUGGCCUAUUCAUGGAUGAGAUGGACUAAGGACAGUGGGAAGCACAAUGGACCAACAGUAUUGUUGGAGGGGACUGCGUGAGGAAGCAGGAGCCUAAACAACACUCUCCAGAUACUGCGUGAACACUGUC
rnacentral:lncRNA from 1 species